GGAGAGAUGUCCGAGCGGCCGAAGGAGCACGACUGGAAAUCGUGUGAACGCCUAAAACGUUCCGCGGGUUCAAAUCCCGCUCUCUCCGCCA
rnacentral:tRNA from 1 species